UCUCUGUCCUGCAAUUUUUCUUCACCCCCAUGGGCCAUGGCUCUCUCUCUCUCUCUCUCUCUCUCUCUCUCUCUCUCUCCUUUCAGGCUUGUUCACGCUCAACCCAAACAAAAUGAUUUGCCGUCUCCCUUUCUAGCACACGCACAUACGCAGAGGAAGAGAGAGAGAUAAUCCAAGAAUUUAGGUUUUAGAGAGAGAGAAAGAGGGGCAGAUCCAACGGGGCAUGUAAUUGGGUUUCAGAUUUUCGGCAAUACCCUAACUGGGAAUACGAUCUAUUCACGUGUCUAGACGCAAGUUGUUUCCUCGGGUUUUGCCAUUAGGAAUAUCGGUUGACAAAGCAGGCGGAGAGAAGUGGAAGCCUAUUGGAUUUUUGUAGUUUAUUGCAGUGAUUUUGAACUAAAGUGGAGCUCUGAAAUUUUUUGGAAGGAUUUUGGGUACCUGUAGUGUCGUCAACCGUGCAUAAAUGAAUGGCACUGUAAGUUCAGUUAAUUAACGAACUUAAAUUGCUUAUAGUAAUGAUCUUUUUUAUGGGGAAGAAGUUGGUGUUCAUAUGCAUUAUCUGCUUAGGUUUGUUGUUUUUGCAAUAGAAAUUAAAUUUGUUGUUGAGCCUUCAUAUACAAACUAGGGAUCACUUUUUUUAAUUUCAUUUUCAUAUUUGGAUGUGAUUGAGCUGGCCGGAACGUGCUCUAUCUUUUCUACAGUUUGCAUCAUUUAACCUUAGGCAAUAUGUAGCGCUUUUGUUGGGGUUAGAUUACGCCAUAUUUGAACGACUUCUAAAGAUUUGAGAUUUGAGCUUGCUAAUGUAGUUUCGAACGGUCAAAGUUGCUAACUCUACAUAGUGGUGAUGCUAUGUGGGCAAGAUAUUCCUGUGUUUAUUGGAAUCAAGUAAACUAACAUGUGUGCAUGUAUAGUCUGGUUGCUCCAUGUUGGACGCAUCCGUUAAUCUAGGUUAUUGACAAUCGUAAGCAAACAAUUCAAUUACAAGAUUAGAAAAAUGCGGUUGUGGUGCUACCCUUUCACACGGAUCUUUGUUUUAUGAUUAUAACAGCUAUUGAAUUUCUACGUUGUGCACCUGAAGGGAAGUGUAUGCUUGUGGUCCACUAUUUCUUUUCUCUUUUAUUUUUUCCUUUGUCCCAUUUUACUUAUGUUUCCUUUCGGGCUUUUGUCCCUUUGUUGUAUAGUAAAUUGUAAUCCUUUUGACACAAUGUCCUUCUCUGUUAUAGGUUUGUAUAACGAUUUUAAACCCCAUGAGUUGUGAGAAACUUCAGAUUUUAACAAAUUGUUCUGUGCUUGCUUGGAUCAAGUGAUCACUUCCAGCGAGAAGCUCAGAUAGACUUGCACACUAAGAAAAAGGCACCCUGCAGAAGGAUAACUGGCUUCCAGUUCUUCCCACAAGAUCUGAGUAAACUGAAUCAACUGAUGGUCACCUGUGCGGAUUCACAAGUCAGAGUCCGUGGGAUUAAUGUGGUGGGAAAAUAUAGGGGUACGAUCGUCCUCUUCCGCCUAAGAUACUUCGUAGCUAGCAUAUUUGACAAUUUGUUCCCAACCCCCCCCCCCCCCCCCCCCCCCCCCCGGCUGUAUUUGAAUCAAGGUUUUAGCCUUUAGGUAAGAAAAAGGAAAUGAAAACUGAAAAGUUGGAGGGUAACGACUCCAAAUACACAGGCAAAAGGGGUUUUGCCCACUUUCUGCACUGUUUCCAUUUUUGUUGUACAUGGUGAGCUGGAAACAUGUAAAAGUUGUACAUGUUAUACUUCAUUUAGAGGAAGAACGAUUCUACUUCUAUC